AACGCACCUUGCGCCCCUUGGUAUUCCGAGGGGCACACCCGUUUGAGUGUCGUGAACACCCUCAACCUUCUUGGUUUCUUGACCAGGAAGGCUUGGACUUUGGAGGCAUAAACUUGCUGGACCCUUUUGGAAUCCAGCUCCUCCUAAAUGAAUUAGUGGGGUCCGCUAUUGCUGAUCCUUGACGUGAUAAGUAUUCCUUCUACGUCUUGGGUUUUGCAGUGUCACCUUGGAACCUGCCCUCCAACUGUCUUUGAAUGAAGACAACGUUCGAGUUACGACUCGACCUUACAGACCUUGACCUCAAAUCGGGUGAGACUACCCGCUGAACUUAA
rnacentral:rRNA from 1 species